rnacentral:rRNA from 1 species
AUGCACGUUUCCGCACGGCCCUUAAUUACUCCGUUCUUGUCGGAACUCUGAAGCUAAGGAGGGCUGGGUCUGGUUAGUACUCGGAUGGGAGAAUGCCUGAGAAGACAAGGCGUUGUACGUU